GAUGAACGCUGGCGGCGUGCCUAAUACAUGCAGGUCGAGCGAAUGGAUUAAGAGCUUGCUCUUAUGAAGUUAGCGGCGGACGGGUGAGUAACACGUGGGUAACCUGCCCAUAAGACUGGGAUAACUCCGGGAAACCGGGGCUAAUACCGGAUAACAUUUUGAACCGCAUGGUUCGAAAUUGAAAGGCGGCUUCGGCUGUCACUUAUGGAUGGACCCGCGUCGCAUUAGCUAGUUGGAGAGGUAACGGCUCACAAAGGCAACGAUGCGUAGCCGACCGGAGCGGGUGAUCGGCCACACGGGGACUGGGACCCGGCCCAGACUCCUACGGGAGGCAGCAGUAGGGAAUCUUCCGCAAUGGACGAAAGUCUGACGGAGCAACGCCGCGUGAGUGAUGAAGGCUUUCGGGUCGUAAAACUCUGUUGUUAGGGAAGAACAAGUGCUAGUUGAAUAAGCUGGCACCUUGACGGUACCUAACCAGAAAGCCACGGCUAACUACGUGCCAGCCGCCGCGGUAA
rnacentral:rRNA from 1 species